UAUUGCUUACUGCAAGGAUAACUCUAAGGCAGUGCUACGCAAUAUGUUGGCGCUUUAUAAAUGCCAGUAAUAAAUAAAUAAAUAAGUCAGACUGCAAGAUCUGUACAGUGUUCCAUUUUGAAAAUCUCACAGAGCUCCACAGCAAACAAAACUCACAGUAAUAUGCACGCAUUGUGUAUUAUUGUAUCACAGAGCUCCACAGCGAACAAAACUCACAGUAAUAUGCACGCAUUGUGUAUUAUUGUAUCACAGAGCUCCACAGCGAACAAAACUCACAGUAAUAUGCACGCAUUGUGUAUUAUUGUAUUACCGAGCUCC